rnacentral:lncRNA from 1 species
GGCCCCCAAUGGCUCCUGGAGCUCUGAUCAUAUCUGAUCCCAUCAUCAGGAAGGAAGAAGGGGUGAAGAGAGGCACACUCCACCUCUACUUACAUCCCAUUGGCAGCCUGCUGUGGAAGCCAGGCAAACAACCCAGGAUACCAUCCUGCCUUGAAACUCUUCAAAAACAAAAUCAUUUUCAAUCCUGUAAGACACACAAAGCAUAGAUACUGGGUGCACCUGCCGCGUGGGGUCGGGUCAGACCUGCCCUGGACUCGGCUGGGAGUACUUGUCAUCUGCAGAGAAUUCUUAAAACUUUUGUGUGUAAGAAAGUCGAUCUGCUUUCUCAACGAUGUCUGUGACAAAAUAGUCCAUCUCCGAAGAUAGUUGCCUCUUAAAAUUCUAAAUGAUGGCUGUUUCAUGUUAUCAAUACUCCUGGAAGCUUGCUGGCUGUGCGCUGAAUUACUUUUCUCAGUGUGAUUAAAGUUUUAUGGUCCAGGUGAGGAAGUUAUAGGCAGAAAUACGAACAAAGCCAAAGUAGAUGUUAAAAUGCCCACCGAUUUCAGAAAAGAGCUGUCCUCGUUUGCUUUCUAUUGACGUGAUAGGGACCACGAACAAAAGCAACUUGGGGAGGAAGGUUUAUUUCAGGUGGACCUUGACAUCAUAGCCCAUCAAUCAAUCAAUCACAGAGGAACAGUGUUUACCUGGCCUGCAGUGCCUGCUUUCUUAUACCACACAGGACCACCUGCCCAGGGGUGGCACCGCUCACAGGAGGCUGGGCCCUUCCACAUCAAUCAUCGAUCCAGAAAAUGUCCCCACAGACUGGCCUACAGGCCAAUCUGUUGGAGGCAAUUUCUCAGUUGAGGGUCCUCUCUCCAUGCUAUGUCUGAGGCUUGUGUCAAGUUGAGAAAAACUAACUGGCACACCAGUAGUUCACGUUAGCUUGAGAUAAAAAAGCCAGUUGAACAUUUUUGAAAUGAUGCUUAUGGAUGUGACUAAGUAUAAAAUGUUUCUCUCUUCUGAUCACUGCAUCUGAGAAUGGCAAUUCCAAGAACGAGAGGGAAGUGACAGCUGUGUGAUAAACAACUAAGGAAAGGCCAGUGAUGGCUGAAGUCCUUACCUUAUAUCAUAUUCUGUGGGCUUUUAAAGUCAGUUGUUUCUAUUUAAAAAGACAAAUCUUAAGACCUGUAUACCUCGUGGGCGUAGACCCAAAGUCCACCCCACUGUGGACACUUGCUUACUCCUGCUCACUGUUGCUUUAUUCGUGAUAACCAGAAAUUGGCAGUAGCCUAGAUGCCCAUCAGCUGAUCAACGGAUGGUGAAAAUGGCACGGGAGAGCUAAGGGGAAGGGUUAGGAAACAGAAGGAGAAGGGAGGAACUAUGAGGAAGGACAACUGACACCAGGUCAAUUUGAGGGGCCACAGGAGCCAUGUCUGCUGCUGACGAUGCUUCCUAAAAUAUAUACAUAUACAAAAAUAAUCUAAAUAAAGUCACCAAAUAAUGGAAGAGACA